rnacentral:rRNA from 1 species
GACGAACGCUGGCGGCGUGCUUAACACAUGCAAGUCGAACGAUGAAGAAAAGAAUUGAAGCUUCGGCAGAAAUUCAUUUCGGAUUAGUGGCGGACGGGUGAGUAACGCGUGAGCAACCUACCUCUUACAAAGGGAUAGCCUCGGGAAACCGGGAUUAAUACCAUAUAACAUUGCGACGAAGCAUUUCGAUGCAAUCAAAGCUACGGCGGUAAGAGAUGGGCUCGCGUCCCAUUAACCAGAUGGUGAGGUAACGGCUCACCAUAGUAACGAUGGGUAACCGGCCUGAGAGGGUGAACGGUCACACUGGAACUGAGACACGGUCCAGACUCCUACGGGAGGCAGCAGAGGGGAAUAUUGCACAAUGGAGGGAACUCUGAUGCAGCGGCGCCGCGUGAGUGAGGAAGGAAUUCGUUUCGUAAAACUCUGUUCUAUGGGAAGAAAAGGACUGUACCAUAGGAGAAAGCUCCGGCUAAAUACGUG